CCAAUAGCGUAUAUUAAAGUUGUUGCAGUUAAAAAGCUCGUAGUUGAAUUUCAGGGUUAGUAGGUCGGUCGUGCCACUGGUAUGUACUGGCUUUACUGAUUCCUCCUUCUUGAAGAACUGUAAUGUCAUUAAUUUGGUGUUGCAGGGAAACAGGACUGUUACUUUGAAAAAAUUAGAGUGUUUAAAGCAGGCUAACGCUUGAAUACAUUAGCAUGGAAUAAUGAAAUAGGACGUUUGAUCCUAUUUUGUUGGUUUCUAGGAUUGACGUAAUGAUUAAUAGGGAUAGUUGGGGGCAUUAGUAUUCAAUUGUCAGAGGUGAAAUUCUUGGAUUUAUUGAAGACUAACUACUGCGAAAGCAUUUGCCAAGGAUGUUUUCAUUAAUCAAGAACGAAAGUUAGGGGAUCGAAGACGAUCAGAUACCGUCGUAGUCUUAACCAUAAACUAUGCCGACUAGGGAUCGGAUGAUGUUAAUUUUUUAAUGACUCAUUCGGCGCCUUACG
rnacentral:rRNA from 1 species